ACCUUUUAGCAUAUAAAACAACACUUACAAAUUCUAAGAAUUAAGACACGGACAUCUUCACACGUAAUGUGUGCUUUACUUUUGUGAGAAGCCCAUUGUUCUCUGUACUGACUCAAAUCAACCCCUCAAUUAAGGCUUUCAUCUCACUUCCCAGAAUUGGACAUGUUGAGUAAGAAAGGUCCUUAUAUUUCUAAUCCAUAAGAUGAGGCUAGGCUAAAUCCUUGGUGUUCAAGCUCCUUUUCUGAAGCUCUUGAAAUUUUGGUUCACACAAAAUUUUACUUGGUAUGACAAUAUGUGAAUAAGAUGAAAGUUGAACUGCUCUGUUCCCCCAUAGUGACCUGCCCAGUUUCUCACCGCAGAGCCAUCCCACUUGCAUCUAUAGCUGUUAGAGCCAGGGAGACCUGAGAAAUUUUCACAUUAAACUCCUACCUUUGCUAUGCAGAAAGUAAUGGCUACAGAGGUGAAAUAACUCUGUGGUACUGGCUCUGCUGUUAAUCAGUGGAGUCAUUGUCAUAUACUCUCUGAGACUCAAUUUUGUUAGCUACGAAAAUGAGCAUUGAAAGACUUUGUAAAGAAGUGGGAUGUGAGAGAGAUUUUGAGAAGCAUUUAAAUUGGUAGGAAGGAGUAGGAUAUUAUGAUACGUAGAAUGUUUAAGAUAGUCCCCCAGAUCUGUGCAUCCUAGUGUACAAACCCUGAAUAAUCCCCUCCCCGUUGUGUGGGCAAUGUGUGGGAAUAUGAUACGACUUUACUUCUGUGACUAGAUUACAUUAUGUGGCAAAGGUAAAGCGACUUUUGUAGAUGUCAUUAAGGUUCCUACCCAGUUGACUUUGAAUUAACAAAGAGGAAUAUUUUCCUGGGUGGAUCCAGUCUAAUCAGGCAAGCUUUUAAAAAGAGGGUAGGGUCCAAGCAUUUGGGGCAGGGAGAGAUUUGAAGCAAGAGAGACAUACUUUUGCUAGCCUCGGAGAAGCAAAUAGCUAUAUUGUAGAGUGGGCCACAUGGCAGGAAGCAGCAGCCUGAGAUAGCUGAGGAGCUGAGAGAGAUGCUCAGCUGACAGCCAGCAAGACAACAGAGGCCUUGGUCCUACAGCGGAAUUCUGCCAACAGCCAAUGAGCUUAGAAGAGGACCAUGAGCCUCAGGUGAGAUUGUAGCCCUGGACAACAUUGGUCGCAACUUGGUGAGACCUUAGACAGAGGAUGGAUUCCAGACCCAUGGAAAAUUUGAGGUUAUAAUGGGAAUUGUUUUAAGCCUGUAAGUUUAUGGUAAUUUGUUAUACUGCAAUAAAAAAGCUAAUAACAGUAUUCAAGGGAUUCACCAGAGCAGAAUCUAAACUAUGCAGGUGUGGUAUAUGAAUAUGAAUAUUAAGUGAUUUUAUCCAACAACAUGGAGGAAUCUCAAAUGCAUAUUUGCUCAUUGAAAUAAACCAGACCCCAAAGGCUGCAUACCGUAUGAGUCCUUUUAGAUGACAUUCUGGAGAAGACAAAACUAUAGGGAUGAAGAACAGUGGUUAUCAAAGGUUGGGAAUAAGGGAAGGAGCUGACUACAAAGGGCAGCAUGUGCAAACUAAGGCAGGACUCUAAUCUGGUUGUGGAUCAAAAGGCCCUGCUUCCAGAGAGGCUCCUGCCCCAUACUCUGGAGGAAGGAAUGCUGCACAGAGAGACCAAGAAGAAUCUGAACAGGUCUGGCCUCCCUGGCUUUCCUCAUCAGUGUAUGAACUCACAUAUGAGAUCACACCCUUUUUGUCCAAUCACCUUUCUACGUGGUUGUCAAUUUUGCCUAUAAUGAAGGUUCCAUUAAAAACCCCAAAGGAUAGGGUUUGGGGAGCUUCCAGAGAGCUGAACACCUAGAGGCCAAUAGAAAGGUGAAGAACUCAUCCAUGUGCUGAGAGGGUGGUGCACCCCAACUCCACGGGGACAAAACCUCCUACAUUCAGGGCCCUUCCAGACCUCGCCCUUUGUAUC
rnacentral:lncRNA from 1 species